rnacentral:rRNA from 1 species
GAUAAACGCUGGCGGCGUGCAUGAGACAUGCAAGUCGAACGAACAAUCCAGGGCUUGCCCUGGGGCGUUAGUGGCGAACGGCUGAGUAACGCGUGGGUGACCUGCCCAGAAGUGGGGAAUAACUGCCCGAAAGGGUGGCUAAUACCGCAUGUGGUCAUACCUUCAUUGGUAUGUCCAAAGCCUUCGGGCGCUUCUGGAGGGGCCUGCGUUCGAUUAGCUCGUUGGUGAGGUAACGGCUCACCAAGGCGACGAUCGAUAGGUGGUCUGAGAGGAUGAUCACCCAGACUGGGACUGAGACACGGCCCAGACUCCUACGGGAGGCAGCAGUCGGGAAUUUUGCUCAAUGGGGGAAACCCUGAAGCAGCAACGCCG